UGAUAUUGACACAAGAAAAAAUAGAUGGUUUCAUGAAGACAAUUCCUGGUUUAUUUUAUACAAGUUUGUGGUGAAAGAUAUAUGGUGAAAUAUGGUAAAAUACAGCCACUCAUACGUUGGGCAGUGCUGACAAGUUGGCAAUACAGUUACUAGGGGAGUUUGUUUUGGUUUCUUUUUGUUAUCUGUUUGCAAUACCCAACACUAAACAUAUGAAGUUGGUUGCAGUAGUUUCAGCUGUGUUGUAUGACAUACCUCUCAAAACAUAACAAAUGGGGAAGCAGAAAAAAGUAUGUUUCAAGAGGACACACCCUGGGAGAGACCAGGGGUGAUCAUACAAACAGAGACGGAAUAAUAUUUGAUAGGCUAAACUGUAUAGAUCAGAAUUGUGCAAACAACAGAAUUAGGAAGGUAUGCACAUGCAGGAAGUGUGAUGUGAAGAAUCUUCAUCAAAAGCCUGGACCAUAUAAUGGAAAUUCACUUGAUUCAAUAUUGCACAGUCAACCUGAAUUGCAGCUGAUGAUCGUGAACUGCUUGUUGACAAAAGGAGAAAAAGAAUUUUCCAAAGUAGAAAGAGGCAUGGGAGGAGAAAAGGAAGCCUGCGUGACACCAUGUACUAAUGAGAAAAAAUAAAACGAGAAAUGCUCAAGGAGAAAGAUAGUCAAAGAGAACAUGAAGGAAGAUGGAAUGAACUUAUAUGUCAAGUAGAACAGAAUAUUUUUCAAGAACCAAGUCCAUCUACCUGGACAUGUGAAAGAGGAAUGCUGCUGCUGAAAGGAAGUACUCUCUUCCUUCCCUUCUCCCCACUCCCAAGAACAUAAUAAAAUAAUAUACUGGGGACCUGGGGGCAUAUAUUGAAGGUCUGCAUCAGUGAAUCGAUAAGCUAUGCUUCUCCAGAAAAUUAAUGUAAACUGUUUAAUAAAGUGUCAGAUCUACAGCUGCUCAGUUAAAUAUAGGAAGAAACUGCUGAUAGCUUUUUUAUGACAGGGGAUAAACCUGAGGAAGAACCUGGCUCAAGGGAAGAAUAUUUUAAAGAAGAAAAAGGUCACAGAGUUUGUGAUGGAUGUUGAAAGAAGAGUAAGACAAAUUUACAGUAAAAGAAACAAGUGGGAUUGCCAAAACAAGGGAAUAUCUGAAUAUGUUGGGAUGAGCAACUACAAUACAGAAGAUCAGUUAACCUUUCUUCAGACUUAGAACAGAUUCCACUACAAAGCCUCACACCUGACAUUUAAACUUGUCUGCAUGAAAGUUCUUAUGGUGCAGAUACCAGCUGGAUCCAAUUCUCAUUCAGCUAAUAGCUGGAAUGUGGAGAAGCUUCAACCAAAUCUCAAAAGCAAACAAAAUAAUCUGAAGGAUAAAGAUACGACGAAAGCAGCAAAUUCCUCUGAAAUCUACUGGGCUGAGGAAUGAUGAAACACAAGACAAAGCUCUUAUCUAUCAGGAAGUUUAAAGCACACCACCUUUUCAUAUGGGACCUAACUGAACGUAUAAUUGAAACAGUGAGACCACCUGGAUACACAACGUUGUCAACUAUAAAAAGGCAUACACAUACAACAUAUGGUUGCUGGUAUAAGCAGGCCAAGCAACUUUUACAGGCACUUCUUGAGUAGCAAGAAAAAAAAGAUUUUAAAGAAAUCUGCCUGAAGUCUAAGCUGUAGAUGGGAGUACAAUAAAGGACUGUACUUGCUGAAUGUAAGCUGCGUGUCAACUACAUCUGAAAGCAAGAGUGAAGAGCUGGCAGAUGUAGGAGAAAGUUAAACCUGAAGUACAAAGAAAAUUUGACUUAACUGAAAUACAGACCUUAAGGAACGUGCUGCAUGCCUCUUUUGCCAGCAAUGUUGCAUCUUUUCUUGGAAGUGCUAUUCUGAGGUAUCUGAUGAAAAGAAUAUUCCAUGCUGCAUAACAUCAUGCUCAGCAACAAAACCAAGGAUGUACUUUUAAGAGUAGCCGCUGCUCAGAGACUGUUUGGGUGUUAAUCUGGUACUACAUGAUUUCCUUUGCAUUAUUAGUUAG
ensembl:lncRNA